UUGGUAAGGGGGUAUUUUUUACCAACUUCUGCCUUGCCAAUAUACCUUUUAGGCUCAAAGAAAUCUUUUUAUUAAUAUUAUAAGAGAUGGAUUUGAUCAGGAUUUCUCUCGUGGAAAAAAAAAUCUCGUAUCGCUUCAGGGAGUUGAGACGAGGUGUGCGUCCCUCCUGAUGUGCCCAGAUGUGACUCCGACGUGCAGGAAGAAAGGACACGCUCAAGCACCAUCAUCACCAUCACCAUCAUCACCAUUAACGCACGCAGAGCAAGAGUACAAUAAGUCCAAAGUCAAAAUAAAAAGGUGUGAUAAUAUCCAGGUACGUUAACAGAAUCCUGGAAUGAGCAGAAGCAGAUCUGGAUUCACCGUUCUCAUUCCAGUGGGUUCAGAGGUCUGGAUGCUC